CCCUUUCCCACUGCACAAAAGCCCAAUUUCCCUCUUCCUUUCUCACAACCCACACGAUCCAAAACUCACCCAUCAGAAUGUCGCCGACCCAAAUGACGCCAAACGUUGCAGAACGCCUCCAACGCCUCCCGUGCUCACCCAUCCCGAACGCCGCCGAACACCGAGCGUCGAACGCUAACUUCCAUCCAAACGCCGAACGCCUAACGCGAACGUCGCUCCCCUUCUCUUUUGUUGUCCUUGUUGUUUGUUAGAUUGCUUGAUUUGAUUACUUUUGUUGGUUUCGUUUUGUUACGUAUCAGAAUCUUAGACAAAUUGAAAAUAGUCGGCUAAGGAAAAGGAGAAAUGGGAUUGACCUUCACCAAGCUCUUCACUAGGCUUUUUGCAAAGAAGGAGAUGCAGAUUUUGAUGGUUGGUCUUGAUGCUGCUGGAAAGACCACGAUCUUGUACAAGCUCAAGCUCAAGCUCGGAGAAAUUAUCACAACUAUUCCUACAAUGGCCUUGCAGCUCUUUGUUGCUGCUGUCUAAUGAGCAUAUAGAAAAAAGUCGAGUGUUUGUUAUAACGGUAAAAAUCAACUUCAAAUCAUGAGUAUAUUUGUAAUUCUAUUUAUAAUUUUCUUACUCUAUCAUAUUGUAUCAGUAAAAAGCAAGUAUUUGUGCAAGUAUUUGUCUAAUGCAACGAUCAUAUGGUUGAAACUGUACGGCUAAUAUGGGUGAAGAAGGCUAUGGAUGGUCCUCAUCCCUUGUGAUUACUAACACACACGACUAUGUUCGGUUUGACCCAUGUUCUGAGACUUGGUAUUCGAACAACAUGUUAUGUUUCUAUCUUUUAAUUUUUUUUUUUGCUAAUUGUAAUCUUAAGGGUUGCUUGUACUUUUAUCCUUUUAGUUUCAUAUGCUUCAAUUGGUUUUGGAACUUCAAGAUUAGCUGGCAGUCCCCGUCUCCUUUCUGAAUUUUGCAGUAUUGUUUAUGAGCACUGAGUUUUAUCAGCCUUAUCUAUCUUCAACUUCAUAAGGGGGUGAGGAAACAGGCUAGCGAGCAUAUUGUUUGUUAUUUACUCUUUAGAAUUCUCUUCCAUUUCAAAAAUAAACAAUCUCAUUAUCA